CUAUUGACUUUUAAACAUGAAAUAUUUAUUAAUAUUUACUAAACAGUAAGGCAGAAGCAAUAAGAAUCAUAACAUUUACUCGAUAUAAGGUAACAUAGGAAUAAUCAAAGCAUCACAGUCCAUUAUAAACACAGAGUGUCUUGUGGGAGGGAGAUAGUGGCCAUACAUUAAUAGAAAUCUAUUAGGCAGGUAUAAGUGAGGAACAUCUAUUUGGAAUAUCUUACAAUUUUAACUGCAAAUCUUGGUGUCCUUGGUUCAUUUAGUAACAAUCUAUACCACAUAAGGCUGAAUUUUAUAUUGACAGCUGUCCUUAUGGGUCUCAUUUCCUUCUUAUAGGAAAUCACUUUCUUCUGUUUUCUAGUAAAGAAGUAAUAGUUUUUCUUUCACCCUUAACAAUACACUGAGAAACUUUUUUCUUUAAAACAAUUUCAUGUAUGUAUGUGUUCAGUCUCUCAUCUACCACCCACCCAUCCACCUUUCCAUCUAUAUUUCUAUCUAUCUUCAUCUUUCCAUCUCUAUCUAACCAGUAUUUUGCUGGAUAGAUUUUAUUUUAAAUAGAAUAGAUCUAUUUAGCUAUCAGUCCAUAAAUCUAUGCAUUCAUAUUUCUAGCAUCUAUCUCAGUUUUCUAUCUAGCAUCUAUAAUCUAUCAUCUACCUAUCCAUCCACAUUUGUAUUUAUUAUCUACAUAUCUUCACCUCUUCCAUUAUACAUCUCCAGUUUUCCAUAUUCACCUAUCUAGAAUCUAUCUAUACAUCUGACUUACAGUCCAUAUAUCUAUCAUGUAUCUAUCAUCUACCCAUGUAUUUCUAUAUCUAUCUUUCUACUUACCUAUUUAUCUAUCUACCCAUCCAUCCAUCUAUCUAUUCAUCCAAACAUUCUCCUUAUUCAUUACAAGCAGGUUUCCUCAGUUUGGCUCUCUGGGAAAUGCAGAGCAGAUGACUUAGCUUAUGCUUUUUUUUUUUUUUUUUUUUUGAGACAUCUUUAAGCUAAACCAAGCCCAUCCUCUGGUAAUAAGAUCACAGCAAUGUAGAGGCAAAGCUUAUCUUACCCUGUCUAUUCAUUCUCCUACCCCCACUCCCACCCCAACCUUGCUCCCAAACUAUGGUGGCAAUAGGAGGUCAACCAGGCACUUUUUUGAGAAUUUCCCUUUCUCUCAGGCUGUAGAUGGCACUAGAUAGCCUAUUUUGUAUAAAAUCUAGAAACUAUAGAGCUUUCUUAGCUGAUCAAACCUUUCUUCAGCCAAUCAUUGUAAAGUGAUGACUUCCCCUAUCCCAAUCAGCAAGUUCCUAGCAAGAGAAAACAUUCUUUCCUAGCCUUGUGUAUAUUUUGUCAGUAGCUUCUUACAACCCCUCUGUUAAGCUUAUUCUAUUAAUUAUCUUGCUUUUCUUUUAAUUUUUGCCUCAUAUCUUUUAAUGUAUUAAAUCAGAGUUCUCUGGUGGUUAAUGAUUUAUAUUUGCCACAUAAGGUAAAGCUCAAGAAAUUUAACUUUUGGUUACUGAAGAACCCCAAAAUCUUUAUACAAUCUCUGUUAUUUGAUAGUUUCAAAAUUGUAAACUAUAAAAUUCUAAAAAACAACAAAAACAGAAACAUGCAGAUGAUUUCAUGAGCCAUAAUGCCCUACAACUGUUGAUCUCCUCGAUUGAAUUUCAAACAGGUCCUUUCAGUACAUUUUUUCUGAGGGAAAAUUCUCUAUCAGGUCUUCAGAGGUCCAUUUCUCUUCCAUUUUUUAGGAAAUAUUUUUCUUCAAUACUAUUUCUUCACAUUUUGAGUUUUAAAAGUUUUACUUAUAUAAAUGUUAUUUUAUUGUCCCCUUUCAGCAACCUAAUGGUUCACAUAAAGACAAUAUCUUGAAAUCAUAGGAUUGUAAACUUAGUUAGGUGGUAUGGUGAAUGGAGAAUGUGCCCUGGACCUUAUAAAAGUCUGAGUUAAAACCUAUCUUCAGAUACUUACUCGCUAGGAGACCUUGAACAAGUCACAUUACCUCUCUUUACACCCAUAAAAUGGGGAUAACAACACCUUCCUCUCCGGAUGGUAAAACUGAGUUAUUUGUCAAGUGCUUUGAAAAUUGUAAACACUAUAAAUUCUAGUUAUUAUUAUUAUUACCGGAAGGAACCCUAGAGGUCCACUAGUGAAAUCUUCUCAUUUUAAACAUAAGGAAACAAAUCCAAGGUAAAAUUGGUUCUCUUUGGGGUAUGUGAUUAAAGGAUAGAGAAAUAGUUAAGAGAUGUGAGGGUCAAAAUGGUAAAAUAGCCUUUAUGAGAGGAUUGAUAAAAAGAGGUGUCCCUCUGCUACCUACUACCAGUAUAAAAGUCACAACCACUUUGCUACUCAUUUUCCUUAUUUGUUAAGUGAGGUUGAACUAGAUAUUCUCCGAUUGUAAUUAUUUGUUAAUAUGAAGACUCAUUUCCCUGACCUGCUAUGGGAAAAAUGCUUUGCAAAGUUUUAAUUGCUAUAUUAUAGUUGUCAGUGAUAGUUGAUGCUGCUGUUCUACUACUAUUACUACUUUACUAUUAGUUAUUUCUACUCCUACUUUUACUAUUUCUAUUCCUAUUAUUACUACUAUUAUUAGUACUUCCCUUACUGCUAUUCCUACUACUAUUGCUACAAUUAUUACUAUUACUACCACUACCAUCACUACUACUGCUACUACUACUAAUUAUAGGUUCCCUAUUACUUUAGAAUUCCCCAGGUUCAGUGAAGGAUGCUUUGGGACCCAGUCACAGUUAUGCAAAUAUAGAUCAACUCCACAUGCAAUUAAUUCUCUACUAACAGACCAGAAAAGCUUUUGAUUGGGGUAGAAUAGAGAGGUAAAUGACGUAAGAAAGCUCCUUCAUCCACAAACUUCCACAGAUUCACAUGUUGCCUUCUGAGGAGUCUUUCCUAGAAAAUCUAUCUUACUAUGGUAACAUAAUAGCAUCAUGUUCCCGAUUGAUCGGAUGUCUUCUCGAGACUUCAUCUCCCCACACGACGGACCUUACUGCCGCUGCUCCAUCUGAGUCUGCAGUUUCCCCUACCUCUAAAGCUCUUCUGAAAAGCUACUGUUGUUGUUUCCUGGAGUUGCGAUCUACAUGUUAAUUUCCAUUAAGUACUUGUCAUUUUAGAGGUCGCUUGUUGGGUUUCUCCUUCAAAGGGAGUGCUGUUGCUCUUUUUUUCCCCUCCAUCACCAGCAUCCCCUUUAAUAAAACAGACAAACUAGCGGGUGACAGGGAGGGGAAAGGGGAUGGGAAUAUCGCCAUUUACAACCACAAAAAACCAAUUUGCACGUGGCUAACACCUGUUAGCGGGGGAGCGGGGAGGGAGGGGCAGGGCUGCCCCAGCGCCGGUGGGCAGCAGCGGCGGAGCCCAGGACCCCGCCGCAUCUAUUUGUAAAGGAUGUCGUAGUGUCCGGGUCUGUACAGAAGGUACACCUUGGUCUCGGAGCCCUCAGAGAAGACGUGGGUGUUGGUGGUGCCGCCCUCACCGCGGUCCAUGUACUCCACCUGGAUGGAGAUGCUGAGGGCCUGCGCCAGCGCCAUGAUGUGGAUGUGGUCACUCUCCUUGCACAUGGGCUCCACCUCCUGCUGACAAAACUCCUUGACCGUCUGUCCCCCCUCGAUGAAAUGCUCGAAGAACUUGCUCUCACGCUGCAGGUGGCCUGAGGUGAGCAGCCGCAGGUAAACCACCAGGUAGUCGGAGGUGCUCUGGUCAUUGAAGGAGGCCAGCAGUUCCGUUGCUGAGGUUCCCCUCUCCACCUGUUCGAUCAGGUCCAUGAAUGUGUUGUGGAAAUCUUCAAUUGUGAACUCGGCGAAGCCCUGGGCCACCAGGUCGUCCUUGCUCUUGGCGGAGACGGCUUUGAGCCUCUGCAGCUCCUUCUUGUCCUCCAGAAGGGCCUCCAGGUGGGAGAAGCCGAAAGCCCGGUAGAAGCAGUUGCCAUCGGGCCUGGUCUUUCGGAUGUAGGAGUACUUUUUGUGUAGGUCCUUGAUCUUCUGUUGGUAGAUGUUGUCAUCUUCGGCGUACUCCUUGUAAAGCACGGAGAGCUCCAGGCGCUCGGACACCAGGGGAUUUUGAACAGCAAUCUCUUGCUGAAUUCGGUCCUGCUGGGCCAUGAUGGCUUCAUCGUAGGCCAAACUGUUAAUUCCUUCAGAGUCACUUUCCAAUGGCUCCGGAUUCUGCUGAUGAGGUUCCUCCGCCGCCAUCUUUAAACAGCAUAUGGACUGCCUCGCCAACGAGCGUGCAACUGCGCAAUCAGCUCUGGUGUCAGUUCCAUAGUCACGGCGGGGGUGGCCCACAAAAAGCUCUUUUUCCCAACCUACUCACUAGCUUCCCAGAACAAAGUUUCAGAUACAGACAGUGAUCUCCAGUGCUCUUUGAUCCAGGGUAACUUGAAGCCAGCAUAGCAGGUAGAAGGGGAUUGCCAGCCAGCCCGACAGGACAACCCCCAAAGUCAAAGUAUCCAGGAUCCAAAUCCAAGGAGGGAUUGGAAGUGAGAACAACCUGAAACAGAAGACAAAUACCUCAGCACAUUUCACCAAGUGAGGGUAAAAAAGACGGAGACCACUAGAACUGUUCCACUAUAACUUCCUAGCCAGGAUAAACUUUAAUGGAUAAAGAGUGAAAGUCUGGAGUUAGGAAGACCUAGGUGAGAAUCUCACCAUAGGUAACCCAUGAACUAGAUAUUUAGGGAGUUGUCAAAGAUCAGCGACAAGACAAGUCAAGGUGGCUGGUGAUGACCUAGGAUUUGGUGGAUGACCUUGGUGUUUUUGACCAAGCUCUCAGUGCCCUACAAUAACUCCGAGGUGUUCAGAGGGACUAGCAGCUCUGGUGUGAGGGCGUGUUGAGUCCUUUUGGGGCUGGUCGUCCACCUUUGAGGUUUGCCUGUUACCUAACGGUCCUUGGACUCCAAGAAGUUUUACUAUGGCCAGUGGCCAGUGGCCAGCCCUUGGUACAACCAGGUGGAGGCUACCACAAGCCUCAGACCCACUGGUGAGUUAUGGGAACAUCUAUCCUACGUGAAGAUGCCUUCUGGAGAGCAGGCAAAUGAGAACCACUUGUUUUAGCAGCCGUGAAUAAUAGCAAUAUACUUACAACCUCAAUGAAUUAACAAUAUCCUCAGCAGCACCCAAUGCCUGACUGCCAUUCUCUGCAGGCCUGCUCCUCCUGGGCCCUUCUGGAACCAAUUUUUCUGUGUGUCCACCAUGAAAAGCCCCCAACACACUGAAGUUAUUCUUCUAAAUUGCUCCUAUCAGUGAAAUGAUCAUCAAAUGUUUGAGAAUAUUAACUCUGCUUAAACUUCACCAGAUCUCUCUUACCUCUAGACUCUCAAAGGGAUCUUAGGGAUCAUCUUGGCCCCAUCCCUUGUUGUAUAGAUUUGGAAUCUGGGGCCACAAGAGCUUAAGUGACUUGUGAGAAUCACAAACACGGUAAGUGAAUGAGUACCAGAGGAGGGAACUGAGCCCAGGUCUUCUCAUUUUAAAUUCAGCCUAAAUUUCCACCCUACCUGGUCAAACAUAUACUCAUGUUUUUCCCUUUUGGACUCUGUUCAUAUUAUUUAUGUACAUACAAUAUAUGGACCUUGAUAUUUAUAUGUUUUCUCUCCAUUAAAAUAAAUUCUUCUGGGAAGCAGAGAUUGUCUUGUUUUUGUUGGUUUUUCUUUGGAUCCCC
rnacentral:lncRNA from 1 species